CCUACGGGGUGCUGCAGUGAGGAAUAUUGGUCAAUGGGCGGGAGCCUGAACCAGCCAAGUCGCGUGAGGGAAGACGGUCCCAUGGAUUGUAAACCUCUUUAGGCGGGGAGCAAUGCCGGGCACGCGUGCCCGGAGGGAGAGUACCCGCAGAAUAAGCAUCGGCUAACUCCGUGCCAGCAGCCGCGGUAAUACGGAGGAUGCGAGCGUUAUCCGGAUUUACUGGGUGUAAAGGGCGUGUAGGCGGGCAUGCAAGCCAGAAGUGAAAUCUGGGGGCUUAACCCCCAAACUGCUUUUGGAACUGCGUGUCUUGAGUGAUGGAGAGGCAGGCGGAAUGCCCAGUGUAGCGGUGAAAUGCGUAGAUAUUGGGAGGAACACCAGUGGCGAAGGCGGCCUGCUGGACAUUAACUGACGCUGAGGCGCGAAAGCGUGGGGAGCAAACAGGAUUAGAUACCCUUGUAGUC
rnacentral:rRNA from 1 species